GCUGGGAGCAGUGGCACAUUCCUGUAAUUCCAGCAACUUGGAAGGCUGAGGCAGGAGGAUCUCAAGUUUGAGGCCAGCCUGGGUUACUUAGGAGACCCUGUCUCAA
rnacentral:sRNA from 1 species